rnacentral:rRNA from 1 species
UAAUACGGAGGGUGCAAGCGUUGUCCGGAAUCACUGGGUGUAAAGGGUGUGUAGGCGGAGCUGUAAGUCAGAGGUGAAAUCCUACGGCUCAACCGUAGAACUGCCUUUGAUACUGCAGCCCUUGAGUAUCGGAGAGGUUGCUGGAAUUCGUGGUGUAGCGGUGAAAUGCGUAGAUAUCACGAGGAACACCAGAGGCGUAGGCGGGCAACUGGACGAUUACUGACGCUGAGGCACGAAAGCGUGGGGAGCAAACAGGAUUAGAUACCCUGGUAGUCCACGCCGUAAACGAUGGAUGCUCGGUGUUGCCCCUUUUUUGGGGCAGUGCCUAAGCUAACGCAUUAAGCAUCCCACCUGGGGAGUACGCUCGCAAGAGUG